AACGAACGCUGGCGGCAGGCCUAACACAUGCAAGUCGAGCGAGAUCUUCGGAUCUAGCGGCGGACGGGUGAGUAACGCGUGGGAACGUACCCUUUGCUUCGGAAUAGCCUCGGGAAACUGGGAGUAAUACCGAAUGUGCCCUACGGGGGAAAGAUUUAUCGGCAAAGGAUCGGCCCGCGUUGGAUUAGGUAGUUGGUGAGGUAAUGGCUCACCAAGCCGACGAUCCAUAGCUGGUUUGAGAGGAUGAUCAGCCACACUGGGACUGAGACACGGCCCAGAAUCCUACGGGAGGCAGCAGUGGGGAAUCUUAGACCAUGGGGGAAACCCUGAUCUAGCCAUGCCGCGUGAGCGAUGAAGGCCUUAGGGUUGUAAAGCUCUUUCAGCUGGGAAGAUAAUGACGGUACCAGCAGAAGAAGCCCCGGCUAACUCCGUGCCAGCCGCCGCUGUAACAC
rnacentral:rRNA from 1 species